GACGAACGCUGGCGGCGUGCCUAAUACAUGCAAGUUGAGCGAUGAAGAUUGGUGCUUGCCCCAAUUUGAAGAGCAGCGAACGGGUGAGUAACGCGUGGGGAAUCUGCCUUUGAGCGGGGGACAACAUUUGGAAACGAAUGCUAAUACCGCAUAAUAACUUUAAACAUAAGUUUUAAGUUUGAAAGAUGCAAUUGCAUCACUCAAAGAUGAUCCCGCGUUGUAUUAGCUAGUUGGUGAGGUAAAGGCUCACCAAGGCGAUGAUACAUAGCCGACCUGAGAGGGUGAUCGGCCAAAUUGGGACUGAGACACCGCCCAAACUCCUACGGGAGGCAGCAGUAGGGAAUCUUCGGCAAUGGACGAAAGUCUGACCGAGCAACGCCGCGUGAGUGAAGGAGGGUUUCGGAUCGUAAAACUCUGUUGGUAGGGAAGAACGUUGGUGAGAGUGGAAAGCUCAUCAAGUGACGGUAACUACCCAGAAAGGGACGGCUAACUACGUG
rnacentral:rRNA from 1 species